GAUGAACGCUGGCGGCGUGCCUAAUACAUGCAAGUCGAGCGAAGCGGGGAGGGGGGAGUAACACGUGGAGAACCGCCUAUGAGACGGGGGAAACUUAGGGAAAAGGGAGCUAAACCGGAUACUUAGAGAUGGAUCUGGGCGGCAUUAGCUAGUUGGUAAGGUAACGGCUUACCAAGGCAACGAUGCGUAGCAGACCUGAGAGGAGGAGCGGCCACACUGGAACUGAGACACGGUCCAGACUCCUACGGGAGGCAGCAGUGGGGAAUCUUCCGCAAUGGGCGAAACCCUGACGCAGCCACGCCGCGUGUAUGAUGAAGGCCUUCGGAUCGUAAAACUCUGUUAUUAGGGAAGCGGUACCUACUCAGAAAGCCCCGGCUAACUACGUGCCAGCAGCCGCGGUAAUAC
rnacentral:rRNA from 1 species